rnacentral:rRNA from 1 species
UGGGGAAUAUUGCACAAUGGGGCGCAAGCCUGAUGCAGCGACGCCGCGUGCGGGAUGGAGGCCUUCGGGUUGUAAACCGCUUUUGUUCAAGGGCAAGGCAGGCUUUCGGGCCUGUUGAGUGGAUUGUUCGAAUAAGCACCGGCUAACUACGUGCC